UACGUAGGGUCCGAGCGUUGUCCGGAAUUACUGGGCGUAAAGCGCGCGCAGGCGGCCCGCGAGGUGUCACGUGAAAGCCCCGGGCUCAACCCGGGAGGGUCGUGGCAAACCGGCGGGCUUGAGGCCGGUAGAGGCGGGUGGAACUCCUGGUGGAGUGGUGAAAUGCGUAGAGAUCAGGAAGAACACCCGUGGCGAAGGCGGCCCACUGGGCCGGUACUGACGCUGAGGCGCGAAGGCGUGGGGAGCGAACGGG
rnacentral:rRNA from 1 species